rnacentral:rRNA from 1 species
AUUGAACGCUGGCGGCAUGCCUUACACAUGCAAGUCGAACGGCAGCACGGGGACAACCCUGGUGGCGAGUGGCGAACGGGUGAGUAAUACAUCGGAAUGUACCCAGUAGUGGGGGAUAACUAGUCGAAAGAUUAGCUAAUACCGCAUACGCACUAUGGUGGAAAGCGGGGGAUCGCAAGACCUCGCGCUAUUGGAGCAGCCGAUGUCCGAUUAGGUAGUUGGUGGGGUAAAAGCCUACCAAGCCUGCGAUCGGUAACUGGUCUGAGAGGACGACCAGUCACACUGGGACUGAGACACGGCCCAGACUCCUACGGGAGGCAGCAGUGGGGAAUUUUGGACAAUGGGGAAACCCUGAUCCAGCAAUGCCGCGUGUGUGACGAAGGCCUGCGGGUUGUAAAGCACUUUCAGUGGGGAAGAACGGAUACGGGCAAUACCCCGCAUCACUGACGUUACCACAGAAGAAGCACCGGCUAAACUCCGUGCCAGC